rnacentral:rRNA from 1 species
GACAGAGGUGCCGAGCGUUAGGCGGAAUCACUGGGCUUAAAGCGUGUGUAGGCGGACCCGUCAGUGUCUUGUGAAAUCCCCCGGCUCAACCGGGGAACGGCUGGGCAUACUGCGGGUCUUGAGACACCUAGGGGCGAGCGGAACAGGCGGUGGAGCGGUGAAAUGCGUAGAUAUCAUUUGGAACGCCAAUGGUGAAAACAACUCGCUGGGGGUGUGCUGACGCUGAGACACGAAAGCCAGGGGAGCGAACGGG